rnacentral:sRNA from 1 species
AGAGGAGACGCUCGCCGUCCCCUGACCCCCAGCUCAGCGCCGGCUCCAAGCCCAGCCAGUGAUCCCUCUAGCCUUCUCCAGUCGCCCCCGCCAUGUCCGAGGAGCUGGCCCAGGGCCCCAAGGAGAGCCCCCCGGCGCCGAGUGCAGGCCCCAGAGAGGUGUGGAAGAAGGGUGGCCGCCUGCUGUCGGUGCUUCUGGCCGUGAACGUGCUGCUUCUCGCCAGCACGCUCAUCAGCGGCGGAGCCUUCAACAAGGUGGCCGUGUACGACACCGACGUGUUCGCCCUGCUCACUGCGAUGAUGCUGCUGGCAACGCUCUGGAUCCUCUUCUACCUCCUCCGAACCGUGCGCUGCCCCUGCGCGGUACCCUACCGGGACGCGCACGCUGGCCCCAUCUGGCUCCGAGGUGGGCUGGUGCUGUUUGGAAUCUGCACCCUCAUCAUGGAUGUCUUCAAGACCGGCUACUACUCCAGUUUCUUUGAGUGCCAGUCGGCCAUCAAGAUCCUGCACCCCAUCAUCCAGGCUGUGUUUGUCAUCAUCCAGACCUACUUUCUCUGGGUCUCCGCUAAAGACUGCGUUCACAUCCACCUGGAUCUGACCUGGUGAGAACUGCAGCUCGAUGCCUGUGCCCAGUGUGCUGGUGUUCACCUUGCAGGAGAGAUUCAGGCUUUCCACCCCGGGGCAGGGCCUCUCCUUAUGUCCCCUGGGUGGGGUUGCAGCCAAGCCCUCCUUGCUUUGUCAGGCUGACUUCCACUACCUUGUGGGGCCCUUUCUCCCAGGGGAGGGAGUGGUGGUGGCCCCCGGGAAAACCUCCUAGCCCUGUCUUUGGUGGCAUACCAGCCAGGCUGUGUUCCUACCAAAACCAGCUUCCCUGUUCACACAGGGCCUGGCUGCUUUCUCAUUUCUCAACAUCAGCUCUCAGUAUUGCUCCCCAACCUGCCAAAGGGUCACAGGCCUCUUUGUCCCCACCCCCAACCCCAAACAGGUGUGGUCUCAUGUUCACACUCACCACCAACCUGGCCAUCUGGAUGGCAGCCGUGGUGGAUGAAUCUGUGCACCAAUCCCACUCCUACAGCAGUUCUCACAGCAACGCCAGCCACGCCCGUCUCGCCUCUGACCGUGAGUUUCCUCUUAAUGCUGGCCCUGUGGCUACCAGGCCUUGGGCCGGGUGCUUUGUGAAUUUAUAACGUCAGUCUCCCGUGCCCACAUGAGGGCAUAGAGGCAAAGGAGAGAGCCAGGGACCUCCUCCUGCUGCAGGAUCUACCUCUGCAGUAUAGGUGUAGGUGACCCCAGAAGGGAAGUAUCAGGGGCACCCUUUUAUCCUUGAGGCUGCAGCCCAGGACCCCCUGUCCAGUCUCCAUCUCAC